GAUGAACGCUAGCGGGAGGCUUAACACAUGCAAGUCGAGGGGUAUAGUAGCAAUACUAGAGACCGGCGCACGGGUGAGUAACGCGUAUGCAACCUGCCCUUUACAGGAGGAUAGCCCGCUGAAAGGCGGAUUAAUACUCCAUAAGAUGGUACUGCCGCAUGGCAGAGCCAUAAAAGCUGAGGCGGUAAAGGAUGGGCAUGCGUGACAUUAGCUAGUUGGCGGGGUAACGGCCCACCAAGGCUACGAUGUCUAGGGGUUCUGAGAGGAAGGUCCCCCACACUGGUACUGAGACACGGACCAGACUCCUACGGGAGGCAGCAGUGAGGAAUAUUGGUCAAUGGGCGCGAGCCUGAACCAGCCAUCCCGAGUGCAGGAAGACGGCCCUAUGGGUUGUAAACUGCUUUUGUGCAGGAAGAACGUCCCGGUCGUGACCGGGAGUGACGGUACUGCAUGAAUAAGCACCGGCUAACUCCGUGCCAGCAGCCGCGGUAAUACGGAGGGUGCAAGCGUUAUCCGGAUUUAUUGGGUUUAAAGGGUGCGUAGGCGGUGAAAUAAGUCAGUGGUGAAAAGCUGCAGCUCAACUGUAGUCCUGCCAUUGAAACUGUUUUACUUGAGUAACCAUGAGGUAGGCGGAAUGUGUAGUGUAGCGGUGAAAUGCUUAGAUAUUACACAGAACACCGAUUGCGUAGGCAGCUUACUAGAGGUUCACUGACGCUGAUGCACGAAAGCGUGGGGAUCAAACAGGAUUAGAUACCCUGGUAGUCCACGCCGUAAACGAUGAUAACUCGCUGUUGGCGAUACACAGUCAGCGGCUUAGCG
rnacentral:rRNA from 1 species